UACGGAGGAUUCAAGCGUUAUCCGGAAUUACUGGGUGUAAAGGGAGCGUAGACGGUGAUGUAAGUCUGGAGUGAAAGGCGGGGGCCCAACCCCCGGACUGCUCUGGAAACUAUAUGACUGGAGUGCAGGAGAGGUGAGCGGAAUUCCUAGUGUAGCGGUGAAAUGCGUAGAUAUUAGGAGGAACACCAGUGGCGAAGGCGGCUCACUGGACUGUAACUGACGCUGAGGCACGAAAGUGUGGGGAGCAAACAGG
rnacentral:rRNA from 1 species